GUGAGGAAUAUUGGUCAAUGGGCGAGAGCCUGAACCAGCCAAGUCGCGUGAAGGAAGAAGGAUCUAUGGUUCGUAAACUUCUUUUGCAGGGGAAUAAAGUGCGGGACGUGUCCUGUUUUGUAUGUACCCUGAGAAUAAGGAUCGGCUAACUCCGUGCCAGCAGCCGCGGUAAUACGGAGGAUCCGAGCGUUAUCCGGAUUUAUUGGGUUUAAAGGGUGCGUAGGUGGUUUGAUAAGUCAGCGGUGAAAGUUUGCAGCUUAACUGUAAAAAUGCCGUUGAAACUGUCGGACUUGAGUGUAAAUGAGGUAGGCGGAAUGCGUGGUGUAGCGGUGAAAUGCAUAGAUAUCACGCAGAACUCCGAUUGCGAAGGCAGCUCACUGGGGUACAACUGACACUGAGGCUCGAAAGUGUGGGUAUCAAACAGGAUUAGAAACCCGUGUAGUCC
rnacentral:rRNA from 1 species